CUGCAUUUUUGGGCACUGCUGGAACGGCGCGCGCGCUGCAUUAUAGCGCGGCUGUUGGAGCCAGCGCUGCGCGACGCGCAAAACCAGGCGACCAGCACGCGACAAACGUGACGCGAAGCGCGCCUGUUGGAGAUGCUCUUAACAUGGUAUUAGAGCUAGGUCAAUUUUUUGCACGUGCUCUUAACAUGGUAUUAGAGCUAGGUCAAUUUUUUGCACGUGGCAACUCAUGCAGUUGAUCCGCUCCGCGCCGCCACUCUCCUCCGUGGUCGUUGCUCGUCGCCGCCCUUCUGCCGUGUGGAUCGCAGGACUGGGCCGACUCCUCUCCUCGAUCCAGUCCCUGCUGGAUCCCGUCGCCAGCCUCCCCGUGCUGGAUCCCGUCAACGUCGCCAGCCUCUCCUGUCCCGUCGCCCCCGUGUUGGAUCCCUCGCCAGUCCUCAGCCGUGCCGGUCCUCCGCCGCAGCCGCCGAUCUCGCCCUCGCCGGUCCUCCGCCGCAGCCGUCGAUCUCGCCGGAUCUCGUGCUGCUGCAACACUCCGUCGUCCCUCCAGGCCGGGUGGUUCCAGAUAGAGCAGCCUCCAGGCCGGGUUCCAGCCUCCAGAUCGAGCAGCCUCCAGAUCGAGCAGCCUCCAGAUCGAGCAGCCUCCAGGCCGGGUUCCAGAUCGAGCAGAGCAGCCUCCAGGCCGGGUUCCAGAUCGAGCCGAGCAGCCUCCAGGCCGGGUUUCGGAUUCCCACGCAGCAGAUCGAGGCGGUUCCAGAUUCCGCCCUGCCCGCACGAGCAGUUGUUUCUGCCAGAUCGCAGGCUUGGCCCUGGUCUGCUUUUCGUUGAUUGAGUUUCUUCGAUAAGAAAAAGAGAAAAAAAAGAAAAAAAUAAAUGUCUACACCAGCUCACAAGGUUGCAGUACCUUGCUUGACUCCUGACGGCUGUGCUGGUAGCUCUUCUGCCGCUCCUCCUGCGAGCUCAGCAUAUGAUUUCUGUAUGACGAUUGGAGCAUGCGUCACACGGCGGCUAAGUUGAAGUUCCCCUUUGUCUGGGAUGAGGGCUGCUUAGACGCACCUA